GCAUCCGUAGCUCAGUCGGUAGAGCAACUGACUCUUAAUCAGUGGGUCUGGGGUUCGAAUCCCCACGGAUGUACCA
rnacentral:tRNA from 1 species